UUGCACUGUGAGGGAGCUGCAAUUGUGGUACCAUCAGAAGACACCUGUUGAAUGUGUUUUAUGUCUUCUGCAGGUACGUGAGCUUGUUAAUAGUCAUCUUGUCUGUAAAGCACAGGCAGGUGAGAAUGUGGUGCGCUGCCGUUGGUUUGUCCACUGGAGGGAGAUGUUUAGCCGGUGAUGCUUCUGUUGUCCUGUUAUUUUGUUUUAUGCGGUUGUGAAGUGUAUUUUUGUAAGUGAUAAGAUUUCUUUUUGUAUUCAAGUACGGUGUGACAGUCUGUAAAAUGGGAGUAAGUUAUUAUUUUCCAUUAUUUCUUUGUUAAAAAGUAGAUUGUAAGACUGUCAACUGACAGCGCGCACUUGCACUGUGAGGGAGCUGCAAUUGUGGUACCAUCAGAAGACACCUGUUGAAUGUGUUUUAUGUCUUCUGCAGGCACGUUUGCACUGUGCAGAAUAAACCGUGAACAGCCAA